rnacentral:rRNA from 1 species
GCGAACGCUGGCGGCAGGCUUAACACAUGCAAGUCGAGCGCCCCGCAAGGGGAGCGGCAGACGGGAGAGUAACACGUGGGAACAUACCUUUUGGUUCGGAACAACUGAGGGAAAUUUCAGCUAAUACCGGAUAAGCCCUUACGGGGAAAGAUUUAUCGCCGAAAGAUUGGCCCGCGUCUGAUUAGCUAGUUGGUGAGGUAACGGCUCACCAAGGCGACGAUCAGUAGCUGGUCUGAGAGGAUGAUCAGCCUCACUGGGACUGAGACACGGCCCAGACUCCUACGGGAGGCAGCAGUGGGGAAUAUUGGACAAUGGGGGCAACCCUGAUCCAGCCAUGCCGCGUGAGUGAUGAAGGCCUUAGGGUUGUAAAGCUCUUUUGCCCGGGAAGAUAAUGACGGUACCGGGAGAAUAAGCCCCGGCUAACUUCGUG